rnacentral:rRNA from 1 species
AGCGAACGCUGGCGGCAGGCUUAACACAUGCAAGUCGAGCGGGCACUUUCGGGUGUCAGCGGCGGACGGGUGAGUAACGCGUGGGAACGUGCCCUCUGGUUCGGAAUAACUCAGGGAAACUUGAGCUAAUACCGGAUACGCCCUAUUGGGGAAAGGCUUGCUGCCGGAGGAUCGGCCCGCGUCUGAUUAGCUAGUUGGUGAGGUAACGGCUCACCAAGGCGACGAUCAGUAGCUGGUCUGAGAGGAUGAUCAGCCACACUGGGACUGAGACACGGCCCAGACUCCUACGGGAGGCAGCAGUGGGGAAUAUUGGACAAUGGGCGCAAGCCUGAUCCAGCCAUGCCGCGUGAGUGAUGAAGGCCUUAGGGUUGUAAAGCUCUUUUAUCCGGGACGAUAAUGACGGUACCGGAGGAAUAAGCCCCGGCUAACUUCGUG